rnacentral:lncRNA from 1 species
GUGGAAGUAUAAAUUGGUACUGUCUAUUUGGAGGUCAGUUUGGCAGUAUCACAAUUAAUGUUGCAACAUCUUCUGACUCAGUAGUUUCACUUCUAGGAAUCUCGUAAAAAAUAAUCAACAUGUGAACUAAGUGAUGUCUGGACAAGGAUGUUUACUGUAUCAUUGUAGCAACUAAAGAUCAUAAAUUAUGAUCUUUCUGAG